rnacentral:rRNA from 1 species
UACGUAGGGUCCGAGCGUUAAUCGGAAUUACUGGGCGUAAAGCGUGCGCAGGCGGUUUGCUAAGACCGAUGUGAAAUCCCCGGGCUUAACCGUGGGAACUGCAUUGGUGACUGGCAGGCUAGAGUAUGGCAGAGGGGGGUAGAAUUCCACGUGUAGCAGUGAAAUGCGUAGAGAUGUGGAGGAAUACCGAUGGCGAAGGCAGCCCCCUGGGCCCAAUACUGACG